GACGAACGCUGGCGGCGUGCCUAAUACAUGCAAGUAGAACGCAGUUGCGAACGGGUGAGUAACGCGUAGGUAACUGCCUCAUAGCGGGGGAUAACUAUUGGAAACGAUAGCUAAUACCGCAUACUGUGCGAUGGACCUGCGUUGUAUUAGCUAGUUGGUGAGGUAAAGGCUCACCAAGGCGACGAUACAUAGCCGACCUGAGCGGGUGAUCGGCCGAACUGGGACUGAGACACGGCCCAGACUCCUACGGGAGGCAGCAGUAGGGAAUCUUCGGCAAUGGACGGAAGGCUGACCGAGCAACGCCGCGUGAGUGAAGAAGGUUUUCGGGUCGUAAAGCUCUGUUGUUAGGGAAGCGGUAACGAACCAGAAAGGGACGGCUAACUACGUGCCAGCAGCCGCGGUAAUAC
rnacentral:rRNA from 1 species